GAGAAGACCGUAACGAGCAACAAGAUUACAAGCAGGCUAAAAGUUCCCACGGUUCUGUUUCUAUAUCGUCCUUAAUAAAGCACUAUAUCACGAAGGAUGCAUUACAUACAAGGGGUAAUGGCCGGUGAAAUUGCGAUCGUAACACGGCGCGAACAUCAUCGUUACGCGUUAUGGUAAAUCGUCGAAUCUACGAGUAAGUUCCAAACAUACAAACACAAAUAUAGGUGUAUUUUUUCAAGAGGAAUGUAGAACAGAGGAAUGUUGCUUCUAACAAAACCAGUUAUUCAAAAACACGUAUGCAGUAUGCAGAGCUCUUCGGCCUAAUACGGGACAAAGUGAGAACAGAGGAAAAAUAGUGAAUAACAAUAACAGAUAAGAGUAAUAAAAAGGAAAAAAAUCGAAAGUCGAUAUCAACGUCGAAACAGUUUUACGCGGACUCUGUAUAUUCGGACUGAACUUGUAGCAGAUAAAGGGGAAACAAGAGUUGACAGGAGAGACAAGAGAGUACCGCUACACUUUCUCCAAAAAGCUUUGAGCCUCGGUAAUGCUCCUCUCACGGAUAUAAGUAACUAAGUACAUAUGUACAUACUUUCCAGGUGUUCUUCUCGCUUCCAGUUCACUCGGAACUAAAUUACAUAUUCAGGCUAAUGGCUAAAUUAACCCCAGACAUUGUAAAGCUAAAUUUAACGUGCAAGUGGUAAAAAAUAUCUUGAAUUCUUUUUCAAGACUCGACACGAUGCUACUGCAUGUUUUAAUCAGCUGGCUGGCUUCACCUGUUUCUCAACACGACAUCCCUACGUACUUGUCUGUUUCCUUUUUUUUCCAUGAAACAUAGAACUUUUUUAAA